GAUGAACGCUGGCGGCGUGCCUAAUACAUGCAAGUCGAGCGAACAGACGAGGAGCUUGCUCCUCUGACGUUAGCGGCGGACGGGUGAGUAACACGUGGAUAACCUACCUAUAAGACUGGGAUAACUUCGGGAAACCGGAGCUAAUACCGGAUAAUAUAUUGAACCGCAUGGUUCAAUAGUGAAAGACGGUUUUGCUGUCACUUAUAGAUGGAUCCGCGCCGCAUUAGCUAGUUGGUAAGGUAACGGCGUACCAAGGCAACGAUGCGUAGCCGACCUGAGAGGGUGAUCGGCCACACUGGAACUGAGACACGGUCCAGACGCCUGCGGGAGGCAGCAGUAGGGAAUCUUCCGCAAUGGGCGAAAGCCUGACGGAGCAACGCCGCGUGAGUGAUGAAGGUCUUCGGAUCGUAAAACUCUGUUAUUAGGGAAGAACAAAUGUGUAAGUAACUAUGCACGUCUUGACGGUACCUAAUCAGAAAGCCACGGCUAACUACGUG
rnacentral:rRNA from 1 species